GGCCAGCUACUAGUGGAAUAAACCAGCGGU
rnacentral:piRNA from 1 species